UACUGUUUAUGAUGAUUGAUUUAUAAAAAAACAAUGGGAAUCUCUCUGAAAAAGAUGAGGGAGAAUUUUUCAACUGAAACAGUG